rnacentral:rRNA from 1 species
AUGAACGCUGGCGGCGUGCCUAAUACAUGCCAGUCGAGCGAACAGACGAGGAGCUUGCUCCUCUGACGUUAGCGGCGGACGGGUGAGUAACACGUGGAUAACCUACCUAUAAGACUGGGAUAACUUCGGGAAACCGGAGCUAAUACCGGAUAAUAUAUUGAACCGCAUGGUUCAAUAGUUAAAGACGGUUUUGCUGUCACUUAUAGAUGGAUCCGCGCCGCAUUAGCUAGUUGGUAAGGUAACGGCUUACCAAGGCAACGAUGCGUAGCCGACCUGAGAGGGUGAUCGGCCACACUGGAACUGAGACACGGUCCAGACUCCUACGGGAGGCAGCAGUAGGGAAUCUUCCGCAAUGGGCGAAAGCCUGACGGAGCAACGCCGCGUGAGUGAUGAAGGUCUUCGGAUCGUAAAACUCUGUUAUUAGGGAAGAACAAAUGUGUAAGUAACUAUGCACGUCUUGACGGUACCUAAUCAGAAAGCCACGGCUAACUACGUG